UUUUUCUUUCUCUUUUUUACUCAUUUUGGUUUUAGAUCGAAGAAUGGGAUCUUCAUCCCUUUCUAUCCUCUUCACCUCUUUCUUUUUUGUGUGGAUUUUUAUGUGUUUUUUUGGUGGGGUUUGAUGUUGGGAAUUUUGUGGGUUUUGUGGUUCUUUAUGGAGUGGGUUUUGAGUUUGAUGAUGGGGUUUUGUGGGUUGUGGGAUCUUUGUUGUUAGGGUUUUGAUUUGAAGUGCG
rnacentral:lncRNA from 1 species